GGCGCCCCUUGCACCCGCCGACCCCCGCCACUUUUCCACGGCGUGCGGCCCCGACACCCAGCCUCAGCAAAGAAUUCAAGCCCUCUAGCCCACGUCCGGCGAACGCUCGGUCUGAGCUCACCGCCUCCGGUUAUUUUGAUCUAGGGUGACCCACAGAAAAUGAUCCCUACGAAUGGACUGAGAAAGUAGUUGAGCAGGAGUAGAGGCAAAGGCACUGAGACUUCAACAUAGACAAUCAAACUUGAACUGAUCUUCCUAUCUCAGCCUCCCCAGUGUAGGGUUACAUACUCUCCUUUUCGUUAAUGUUCAAUCAUGGAGCUUUCUUCCUUCAAGAAACAGAAGGUUUCCAAGGAGCCGCUAUAAAGUCGUUUUCCUGAGGACAUCUACAAAACUGCUCACUAAAAGGUGCUGAGUAGGGUAGGAGGAGAGGUGGGGGAGGGGAUAAUCGAAGCAGUCUGUUUGCGUGUGGGGAAAUGCCAGUGAAACCCAUUAUGUAUAAUUAAUAUGCAUUAAUCUGAGGUUGCAGAAGGAGGAUAGAGAGUGGGAGGUCAGCCUCUUUAAUUACAUAUAUAAUUAAUUACAUAAUUAAUUAUAUGGUGUGGUGGUGCAUGCCUUUAAUGCCAGCUUUCAGUAUACAGAGGCAGGAUUGGUCUACAUAGAAAGUUCCAGGCCAGCCAGGGUUAUUGUGGUGGGUAUUCAUUCUGCCAAUAACCUUGGGCUAUCUGGCCCUUUAAGAGGCAGUGCUUCUUAUCUGCCUAUGAUCCUCUUAUAAGGAAGGAGGAAGGGUGGUCGCUCUCUCUAAGAUGGUGAAGACCAGGUCAGGCGGCAUGAAGCAGUGUGUGAUUAGUCCCCAGCUUUUCAAGAACUCUGCAACUGGAUUUACCGUGUCCUGUAAUCGUGAGUGUAUUUCCCUCCCCCUUUCAUAUUUUAAUAAAUCCUUGAUACUACUUAAA